rnacentral:rRNA from 1 species
UUUUUUAAUUGGGGACUGGAAUGAAAGGUAGAAAUUUUAAGGGAAUGUUUUUGAAAAUAAUUUUGAAUUUAAAUUAAAAAUAAAAAUGUUUUUGUGAUUUUUUGGGACGAUAAGACCCUAGAAGUUUUAAAGAUUAAUUUUUAAUUGGGGCAAUUUUUGAAGAAAGCAAUUUUUUUAGAAUUAAAUUAUUUUAAAUAAAAUUACUCUAGGGAUAACAGCGUUAUUUAAUUAGAAAGUUCUUAUUAAUAAUUAAGUUUGCGACCUCGAUGUUGAAUUAAAU